GGGUUGUGAGGUUAAGCGACUAAGCGUACACGGUGGAUGCCCUGGCAGUCAGAGGCGAUGAAGGGCGUGCUAAUCUGCGAUAAGCGCCGGUAAGGUGAUAUGAACCGUUAUAACCGGCGAUACCCGAAUGGGGAAACCCAGUGUGAUUCGUCACACUAUCAUUAACUGAAUCCAUAGGUUAAUGAGGCGAACCGGGGAACUGAAACAUCUAAGUACCCCGAGGAAAAGAAAUCAACCGAGAUUCCCCCAGUAGCGGCGAGCGAACGGGGAGGAGCCCAGAGCCUGAAUCAGCAUGUGUGUUAGUGGAAGCGUCUGGAAAGGCGCGCGAUACAGGGUGACAGCCCCGUACACAAAAGCGCAUGUGCUGUGAGCUCGAUGAGUAGGGCGGGACACGUGGUAUCCUGUCUGAAUAUGGGGGGACCAUCCUCCAAGGCUAAAUACUCCUGACUGACCGAUAGUGAACCAGUACCGUGAGGGAAAGGCGAAAAGAACCCCGGCGAGGGGAGUGAAAAAGAACCUGAAACCGUGUACGUACAAGCAGUGGGAGCCCCACCACUAAGCCAGUGGUGAACUCCACAUACGCAUCCUUUGCUGAGGAUACGGUUAACGGAGCGAAAGCGACGUUCAACCGCAAAAGAAGCAGAGGGGGCUUAGUGGUGGGGUGACUGCGUACCUUUUGUAUAAUGGGUCAGCGACUUAUAUUCUGUAGCAAGGUUAACCGAAUAGGGGAGCCGGAGGGAAACCGAGUCUUAAUUGGGCGUUAAGUUGCAGGGUAUAGACCCGAAACCCGGUGAUCUAGCCAUGGGCAGGUUGAAGGUUGGGUAACACUAACUGGAGGACCGAACCGACUAAUGUUGAAAAAUUAGCGGAUGACCUGUGGCUGGGGGUGAAAGGCCAAUCAAACCGGGAGAUAGCUGGUUCUCCCCGAAAGCUAUUUAGGUAGCGCCUCGUGAACUCAUCUCCGGGGGUAGAGCACUGUUUCGGCUAGGGGCCAUCCCGGCUUACCAACCCGAUGCAAACUGCGAAUACCGGAGAAUGUUAUCACGGGAGACACACGGCGGGUGCUAACGUCCGUCGUGAAGAGGGAAACAACCCAGACCGCCAGCUAAGGUCCCAAAGUCAUGGUUAAGUGGGAAACGAUGUGGGAAGGCCCAGACAGCCAGGAUGUUGGCUUAGAAGCAGCCAUCAUUUAAAGAAAGCGUAAUAGCUCACUGGUCGAGUCGGCCUGCGCGGAAGAUGUAACGGGGCUAAACCAUGCACCGAAGCUGCGGCAGCGAACGUAUCACUUAAAGCGAUUCAGCGGGUUACGAUUGACGGAGCGAAGCGACGUCAAAGCGUAUACAAAGUCGAGUCGGUUUAAGGAUACGUUCGUUGGGUAGGGAGCGUUCUGUAAGCCUGCGAAGGUGGCCUGUGAGGGUUGCUGGAGGUAUCAGAAGUGCGAAUGCUGACAUAAGUAACGAUAAAGCGGGUGAAAAGCCCGCUCGCCGGAAGACCAAGGGUUCCUGUCCAACGUUAAUCGGGGCAGGGUGAGUCGAUCCUAAGGCGAGGCCGAAAGGCGUAGUCGAUGGGAAACGGGUUAAUAUUCCCGUACUUGGUGUUACUGCGAAGGGGGGACGGAGAAGGCUAUGUUGGCCGGGCGACGGUUGUCCCGGUUUAAGCGUGUAGGUGUGUGUUCCAGGUAAAUCCGGUUCACUUUAACACUGAGGCGUGAUGACGAGGCACUACGGUGCUGAAGCAACAAAUGCCCUGCUUCCAGGAAAAGCCUCUAAGCAUCAGGUAACAUCAAAUCGUACCCCAAACCGACACAGGUGGUCAGGUAGAGAAUACCAAGGCGCUUGAGAGAACUCGGGUGAAGGAACUAGGCAAAAUGGUGCCGUAACUUCGGGAGAAGGCACGCUGACACGUAGGUGAAGUGAUUUACUCAUGGAGCUGAAGUCAGUCGAAGAUACCAGCUGGCUGCAACUGUUUAUUAAAAACACAGCACUGUGCAAACACGAAAGUGGACGUAUACGGUGUGACGCCUGCCCGGUGCCGGAAGGUUAAUUGAUGGGGUCAGCGCAAGCGAAGCCCCUGAUCGAAGCCCCGGUAAACGGCGGCCGUAACUAUAACGGUCCUAAGGUAGCGAAAUUCCUUGUCGGGUAAGUUCCGACCUGCACGAAUGGCGUAAUGAUGGCCAGGCUGUCUCCACCCGAGACUCAGUGAAAUUGAACUCGCUGUGAAGAUGCAGUGUACCCGCGGCAAGACGGAAAGACCCCGUGAACCUUUACUAUAGCUUGACACUGAACAUUGAGCCUUGAUGUGUAGGAUAGGUGGGAGGCUUUGAAGUGUGGACGCCAGUCUGCAUGGAGCCGACCUUGAAAUACCACCCUUUAAUGUUUGAUGUUCUAACGUGGACCCGUUACCCGGGUUGCGGACAGUGUCUGGUGGGUAGUUUGACUGGGGCGGUCUCCUCCUAAAGAGUAACGGAGGAGCACGAAGGUUGGCUAAUCCUGGUCGGACAUCAGGAGGUUAGUGCAAUGGCAUAAGCCAGCUUGACUGCGAGCGUGACGGCGCGAGCAGGUGCGAAAGCAGGUCAUAGUGAUCCGGUGGUUCUGAAUGGAAGGGCCAUCGCUCAACGGAUAAAAGGUACUCCGGGGAUAACAGGCUGAUACCGCCCAAGAGUUCAUAUCGACGGCGGUGUUUGGCACCUCGAUGUCGGCUCAUCACAUCCUGGGGCUGAAGUAGGUCCCAAGGGUAUGGCUGUUCGCCAUUUAAAGUGGUACGCGAGCUGGGUUUAGAACGUCGUGAGACAGUUCGGUCCCUAUCUGCCGUGGGCGCUGGAGAACUGAGGGGGGCUGCUCCUAGUACGAGAGGACCGGAGUGGACGCAUCACUGGUGUUCGGGUUGUCAUGCCAAUGGCACUGCCCGGUAGCUAAAUGCGGAAGAGAUAAGUGCUGAAAGCAUCUAAGCACGAAACUUGCCCCGAGAUGAGUUCUCCCUGAGACUUAGAGUCUCCUGAAGGAACGUUGAAGACGACGACGUUGAUAGGCCGGGUGUGUAAGCGCAGCGAUGCGUUGAGCUAACCGGUACUAAUGAACCGUGAGGCUUAACCUUACAACGCCGAAG
rnacentral:rRNA from 1 species